rnacentral:lncRNA from 1 species
GUUUUGGGUGUGUGGAGUCUGUGGCUGAGCUCUGCUGGGGGAGCCUGAGGUGAGCUAUGGUAGAAGAUGUGAUUCACUACAUGGGAACUAGAAGGUGGAUUUUGCUGCAUGGCAGAUGAAGAUCCUGAGGUGAAAAUAAAUCCACAAAGAUAAAUAUCAAACUUUGAGAUGCUGUUCCAUGUAAGUGAGUGU